GGGAUUUCUUACAAAGGAUAGGUGGAGGGAAUGUGGAGGACGCGGUCGGAGAGCACUCUAGUCCGACUGUUUACUAAUGAAUUGGCCAAAAACUUCAGCUGGGAGGCAGGAAGGGGAGAGGGCCUUAAACAGCCUUCUGAUUAUUAAAACCCUGGAGAAAGUUGUUGCUGCGUCGCAUACAGACUUUACCAGCAAGCUGUUUGAAAUACGGGUGAAGGAGUGGUUCCGGCAGUCUGGAACCAGAAUUUAUAAUCUAAAAAAAUAAUAAGUUUCACUGAAUUUAUUAUUUAAAUAAAUAUGCAUUUUCAAGCAGUA
rnacentral:lncRNA from 1 species